GAUGAACGCUAGCGGCAGGCUUAAUACAUGCAAGUCGAGGGGCAGCGCAGUGUAGCAAUACAUGGGCGGCGACCGGCAAACGGGUGCGGAACACGUACGCAACCUUCCUUUAAGUGGGGGAUAGCCCAGGGAAACUUGGAUUAAUACCCCUUAACAUUAUGAGAUGGCAUCAUUUUAUAAUUAAAGCUCCGGCGCUUAAA
rnacentral:rRNA from 1 species